AUGGUGAAUAUUUCUAAGACCCGCCGGACUUCCUGUAAAAAGUGUGGCAAGCACCAAUCUCACAAAGUAAUGCAGUGCAAGAAGGGCAAGGAUUUUCUGUAUGCCCAGGAAAAGUGGUAUUAUGACAGGAAGCAGAGUGGCUAUGGUGGGCAGACUAAGCUGAUUUCCCAGAAAAAGGCUAAAACUACAAAGAAGAUUGUGCUAAGGCUUGAGUGUGUUCAGCCCAACUGCAGAUCUAAGUGAAUACUGGCUACUAAAAGAUGCAAACAUUUUGAACUAUGAGGAGAUAAAAAGAAAAAGGAUCAAGUGAUCCAGUUCUAA
rnacentral:lncRNA from 1 species